CUGAUCUGAACUUUCACACUCCUUCAAAGCACCAGAGGCAACAAAGACCUACAACUGCAGAGAGCAAAGACUCUCCUCCAUCUUCACCAUGGCUCCUUACAAUGAUUCUGGGGCUCCUCUGCCUGGCUUUGCUAGUAACUGCAGGGGUUUUGGGUGCCAAGUUUCUCCAGGCUUCCCUUCAAGUGAGAAGACAGAAAGAGGAACUUAUCGAGAAACAGGCUAUUCUGAAAAACUUCACCCAGUUGGAGGAAACCCUGAAAAACUGCACGCGACAAAGAGAUGAUCUCCAAGCUAAUAACACAGAACUCUCAAAUGCUGUGAAAAG